CGCUCAUCGAGAGCGGCUGAGGGACGGGCCCUAUGAAGCCGCGGCAACCAACGCUUAUGCGUCAGGUGCCAAUGCCCGAACGAUGAGCA
rnacentral:ncRNA from 2 species